AUUGAACGCUGGCGGCAUGCCUUACACAUGCAAGUCGAACGGUAACGCGGGGCAACCUGGCGACGAGUGGCGAACGGGUGAGUAAUGCAUCGGAACGUACCCAGUAGUGGGGGAUAGCCCGGCGAAAGCCGGAUUAAUACCGCAUACGACCUACGGGUGAAAGGGGGGGAGUCGCAAGACCUCUCGCUAUUGGAGCGGCCGAUGUCAGAUUAGGUAGUUGGUGGGGUAAAGCCUACCAAGCCUGUGAUCUGUAGCUGGUCUGAGAGGACGACCAGCCACACUGGGACUGAGACACGGCCCAGACUCCUACGGGAGGCAGCAGUGGGGAAUUUUGGACAAUGGGCGCAAGCCUGAUCCAGCAAUGCCGCGUGCGGGAAGAAGGCCUCGGUGUAACGCUUUGUCAGGAGAA
rnacentral:rRNA from 1 species